rnacentral:misc_RNA from 1 species
AUUAGGAUUUUUUUUUUUUUGGGUGCGUGUUUAUGAAUAUAAUUGUGAAAUUUUUGUCCUACUUUGAUGAUCAACUGCGCUAUCAAUGAAUUUGCUUUUGUAAAAUUAGGUGAUCAGUCUUCUGAGCAGAAGAGAGACUAUAAUACAACUCAUCUUUAAUUGUUAGGAAGCGUUUGGUACCAAGUUAAAAAAUUGAUGGUUAAAUGUUAUUUUGUAAAUUUUAAAGGAGUAAUUG